rnacentral:rRNA from 1 species
UAAAGAUUUUAAGGGCGUACGGUGGAUGCCUUGGCGAUAUCAGCCGAAGAAGGACGCGGUAAGCUGCGAUAAGCUACGGAGAGGUGCAAGCAACCUUUGACCCGUAGAUUUCCGAAUGGGGGAACCCGGCAGUGGUUAUGCACUGUCACCCAUAGCUUAGACUAUGAGGAGGGCACCUGGGGAACUGAAACAUCUAAUUACCCAGAGGAAAAGUAAUCAAACGAGAUUUUCUUAGUAGCGGCGAGCGAACGGGAAAGAGGCCAAACCGGAGCGGGCAACCGCACCGGGGUUGAGGACAGUCAUCAAGUGUAAAUGAGGUAGAAGAAUCGAGUUGGAAAGCUCAGCCGCAGAAGGUGAAAGCCCUGUAAUCGAAACCUUGCAUACAUGGGACUGUAUCCAGAGUACCACGAGACACGUGAAACCUUGUGGGAAGCAGGGGGGACCACCCUCCAAGCCAAAAUACUGAUAUCGACCGAUAGCGCAUAGUACCGUGAGGGAAAGGUGAAAAGAACCCCUGGCGGGGAGUGAAAGAGAACCUGAAACCGUAUGUCUACAAACAGUCGAAGUCUGUAUAUAUAUCAGGACGACGGCGUGCCUAUUGAAGAAUGAACCGACGAGUUACUGUUGCUAGCGAGGUUAAGUGGAAAACAUGGAGCCGCAGCGAAAGCGAGUCUGAACAGGGCGUUCAGUUAGUAAUAGUAGACCCGAAACCGUAGUGAUCUAUCCAUGGCCAGGUUGAAGCACAGGUAAAAUUGUGUGGAGGACCGAACUCGUGAGCGUUGAAAAGCUUUGGGAUGAGUUGUGGAUAGGGGUGAAAUGCCAAUCGAACACGGAGAUAGCUGGUUCUCCCCGAAAUAGCUUUAGGGCUAGCCUCGAGGUUGAGAGUAUAGGCGGUAGAGCACUGAUCGGGCUAGGGGCCAUACCGGUUACCGAACCUAGUCAAACUACGAAUGGCUAUACUUAUACUCGGGAGUCAGACAGUGAAUGAUAAGGUCCAUUGUCAAGAGGGAAACAGCCCAGAACACCGACUAAGGUCCCCAAUGUUACACUAAGUGGCGAAGGAUGUGGAAUUUCCAAAACAACCAGGAUGUUGGCUUAGAAGCAGCCACCAUUUAAAGAGUGCGUAAUAGCUCACUGGUCGAGAGACUCUGCGCCGAAAAUGUCCGGGGCUAAAGUGUAAAACCGAAGUCGUGUCAUAUGCAGCAAUGUAUAUGGGUAGGGGAGCGUUCUCAUCGGGCUGAAGCAGUACCGUAAGGAGUUGUGGACUGAUGAGAAGUGAGAAUGUCGGUAUGAGUAGCGAAAAGAAUGGUGAGAAUCCAUUCCACCGAAAGCCUAAGGGUUCCUGAGCAACGAUCGUCGUCUCAGGGUAAGUCGGGACCUAAGCCGAGGCGGAAAAGCGUAGGCGAUGGACAACAGGUUGAAAUUCCUGUACCGGUGUGAAUCGUUUGAUCGAUGGAGUGACACAGUAAGGUAGGUCAGCACGCGAUUGGAAGUGCGUGUUUAAGCAUGUAGGUUGAGUUAUAGGCAAAUCCGUAACUCUAAAAGCUGAGAUGUGAUGACGAGCUGUUUACAGCGAAGUGAUUGAUCCUACACUGUCGAGAAAAGCUUCUAGGUAGAGACACAUCGCCCGUACCAAAACCGACACAGGUAGGCGGGGAGAGAAUCCUAAGGUGCGCGGGAAAACCCUCGUUAAGGAACUCGGCAAAAUGCCUCCGUAACUUCGGGAAAAGGAGGACUCAUGUAGUGUGAAGGGCAGUAACGCGUGGAGCAUGAAUGAGUGGCACAAGAGAGGCGCAAGCGACUGUUUACCACAAACACAGGUGCCUGCUAAAGCGAAAGCUGAUGUAUAGGUGCUGACACCUGCCCGGUGCUGGAAGGUUAAGAGGAGGGGUUAGACUUCGGUCGAAGCUCUGAAUUGAAGCCCCAGUAAACGGCGGCCGUAACUAUAACGGUCCUAAGGUAGCGAAAUUCCUUGUCGGGUAAGUUCCGACCCGC